GCUCUUCCUCCUGCUCCUGCCCUGGUAAGAAGUGCUGCUUCCCCUUUGCUUUCUGCCAUGAUUGUACGUUUCCUGAGGCCUUCCCAGCCAUGCUUCCUGUGUGGCCUGUGGAACGGGGCAGUGGCAUCCUCAUGCAAGCUGGUCUACUGGUGGCUGCCCCUGUGACCUGCUUCUGAAUGGCCAGGCAGGAAAAGUCUCCCACUGUGUUGCAUUUAAAGAAAAGAAAAAGAUGAAUUAAGUAAAAAGCUCUGCAAACAACUGAGUGUAAUUAUUGGAUAUGUAUAAACUUAUGCAUAUUUUCCUUUUUUUAAUUAUACUUUAAGUUCUAGGGCACAUGUGCACAACGUGCAGGUUAGUUACAUAUGUAUACAUGUGCCAUGUUGGUGUGCUGCACCCAUUAACUCGUCAUUUAACAUUCGGUAUAUCUCCUAAUGCUAUCCCUCCCCCCUCCCCCCACCCCACAACAGGCCCUGGUAUGUGAUGUUCCCCUUCCUGUGUCCAUGUGUUCUCAUUGUUCAAUUCCC
rnacentral:lncRNA from 1 species